AUUGAACGCUGGCGGCAGGCCUAACACAUGCAAGUCGAACGAGAGGCGGACGGGUGAGAAAUGUCUGGGAAACUGCCUGAUGGAGGGGGAUAACUCCUGGAAACGGUAGCUAAUACCGCUCACCGCCCGAUGUGCCCUGGUGGGAUUAGCUAGUUGGUGGGGUAACGGCUCACCAAGGCGACGAUCCCUAGCUGGUCUGAGAGGAUGACCAGCCACACUGGAACUGAGACACGGUCCAGACUCCUACGGGAGGCAGCAGUGGGGAAUAUUGCGCAAUGGGCGCAAGCCGGAUGCAGCCAUGCCGCGUGUAUGAAGAAGGCCUUCGGGUUGUAAAGUACUUUCAGCGGAGAGGCGUUACCCACAGAGGAAGCCCCGGCUAACUCCGUGCCAGCAGCCGCGGUAAUAC
rnacentral:rRNA from 1 species